rnacentral:rRNA from 1 species
AUGGAGGACGAAGAGCACGAGGUGUACGGCCAGGAGAUCCCCGUCGACGGCGAGGACGUCGACAUGGGCGCCGGGGGCGACGACGCCGCCAAGCUGCACGAGCUCGACGAGAUGAAGCGCCGUCUCAAGGAGAUGGAGGAGGAGGCCGCCGCCCUCCGCGAGAUGCAGGCCAAGGUCGCCAAGGAGAUGCAAGGCGGAGAUCCUAAUGCGACCACAUCUGAAGCAAAAGAAGAGAUGGAUUCUCGUUCUGUUUUUGUUGGAAAUGUUGACUAUGCAUGCACUCCAGAAGAAGUGCAGCAGCAUUUUAAUUCGUGCGGAACCGUCAACCGAGUGACUAUCCUGACCGACAAGUUUGGGCAGCCUAAAGGUUUUGCUUACGUUGAAUUUGUUGAAGCAGAAGCUAUUCAGGAAGCUGUCAAGCUGAGUGAGUCAGAGCUUCAUGGUCGGCAAAUCAAGGUAGCGCCGAAGCGAACUAACGUUCCUGGGUUGAAGCAGCCCCGAGGGGGCCGAGGAUUCAACCCAUAUGGCGGCCACCCCUACAUGAGGCCAUAUCCUCCACCGUUUUACAAUCCUUAUGGUGGUUAUGGGAGAGCUCCCAGGUUCCGCCGUCCGCGCAGGCCCUUCUACUAA